rnacentral:rRNA from 1 species
AAAUUGAAGAGUUUGAUCAUGGCUCAGAUUGAACGCUGGCGGCAGGCCUAACACAUGCAAGUCGAACGGUAACAGGAAUCAGCUUGCUGAUUCGCUGACGAGUGGCGGACGGGUGAGUAAUGUCUGGGAAACUGCCUGAUGGAGGGGGAUAACUACUGGAAACGGUAGCUAAUACCGC